rnacentral:tRNA from 1 species
GGGGACAUAGUUUAAUUAGAAUAUAGUCUUUGUAAGGCUGUGGUGCUUUGGCUCGGUUGUUUCCAUUGGUUUGA